rnacentral:rRNA from 1 species
GACAGAGGGGGCAAGCGUUGCUCGGAAUUACUGGGCGUAAAGGGCGCGUAGGCGGGAUGGCAAGUCGGUCGUGAAAUCCUUCGGCUCAACCGAAGAACGUCGAUCGAUACUGCUGUUCUUGAGGGUUGCAGAGGAGACUGGAAUUCCUGGUGUAGCGGUGAAAUGCGCAGAUAUCAGGAGGAACACCGAUGGCGAAGGCAGGAUCUCUGGGCCAUAACUGACGCUGAGAAGCGAAAGCAUGGGGAGCGAACAGG